GACGAACGCUGGCGGCGUGCUUAACACAUGCAAGUCGAACGAUGAAGCUCUAGCUUGCUGGGGUGGAUUAGUGGCGAACGGGUGAGUAACACGUGAGUAACCUGCCCUUUACUUCGGGAUAAGCUUGGGAAACUGGGUCUAAUACCGGAUAUUCUGCGUGAUCGGAUGGUUGUGUAGGAAAGAUUUUUUGGUAAGGGAUGGGCUCGCGGCCUAUCAGUUUGUUGGUGGGGUGAUGGCCUACCAAGACGACGACGGGUAGCCGGCCUGAGAGGGCGACCGGCCACACUGGGACUGAGACACGGCCCAGACUCCUACGGGAGGCAGCAGUGGGGAAUAUUGCACAAUGGGGGAAACCCUGAUGCAGCGACGCCGCGUGGGGGAUGACGGCCUUCGGGUUGUAAACCUCUUUCAGUAGGGAAGAAGCGAAAGUGACGGUACCUGCAGAAGAAGUACCGGCUAACUACGUGCCAGCAGCCGCGGUAAUACGUAGGGUACUAGCGUUGUCCGAAAUAUUGGGCGUAAAGAGCUCGUAGGUGGUUUGUCGCGUCUGCUGUGGAAACGUGCCGCUUAACGGUGCGCGUGCAGUGGGUACGGGCGGACUAGAGUGCAGUAGGGGAGUCUGGAAUUCCUGGUGUAGCGGUGAAAUGCGCAGAUAUCAGGAGGAACACCGGUGGCGAAGGCGGGACUCUGGGCUGUUACUGACGCUGAGGAGCGAAAGCAUGGGGAGCGAACAGGAUUAGAUACCCUGGUAGUCCAUGCCGUAAACGUUGGGCACUAGGUGUGGGGUCCAUUCCACGGAUUCUGCGCCGUAGCUAACGCAUUAAGUGCCCCGCCUGGGGAGUACGGCCGCAAGGCUAAAACUCAAAGGAAUUGACGGGGGCCCGCACAAGCGGCGGAGCAUGCGGAUUAAUUCGAUGCAACGCGAAGAACCUUACCAAGGCUUGACAUGCACUAGACCAUCGCAGAGAUGUGGUUUUCUUUUUGACUGGUGUACAGGUGGUGCAUGGUUGUCGUCAGCUCGUGUCGUGAGAUGUUGGGUUAAGUCCCGCAACGAGCGCAACCCUCGUUCUAUGUUGCCAGCACGUGAUGGUGGGAACUCAUGGGAGACUGCCGGGGUCAACUCGGAGGAAGGUGGGGAUGACGUCAAAUCAUCAUGCCCUUUAUGUCUUGGGCUUCACGCAUGCUACAAUGGCCGGUACAGAGGGUGGCGAUACCGUGAGGUGGAGCGAAUCUCUUAAAGCCGGUCUCAGUUCGGAUCGUAGUCUGCAACUCGACUACGUGAAGUCGGAGUCGCUAGUAAUCGCAGAUCAGCAAUGCUGCGGUGAAUACGUUCCCGGGCCU
rnacentral:rRNA from 1 species